CCCCUCUCAGGAUCACAACUGGAGAGUUUCCAGUACUCUAUCAGUCUCGACUACAGGAGGGAGAGUCAAGCAGAGGCCUACCCAUUCCAUUCCUAGCUUGGAUGGUGGCUAGAGAAUGGAAGGCAAUCUGCUACAAGU